AGGAGGAACAACCCCCGUGGCUGCGGCAGCCCUGGAAACCUGGAUUCAGCUCCCGCAGGAACUACUGAGCUCUCCGUCUGCAGGGCCUGGAGGCUCCGGGGCGGG
rnacentral:pre_miRNA from 1 species